UACGUAGGGUGCGAGCGUUGUCCGGAAUUAUUGGGCGUAAAGAGCUCGUAGGCGGUCUGUCGCGUCGAUCGUGAAAACUUGGGGCUUAACCCUGAGCUUGCGGUCGAUACGGGCAUGACUGGAGUUCGGCAGGGGAGACUGGAAUUCCUGGUGUAGCGGUGGAAUGCGCAGAUAUCAGGAGGAACACCGAUGGCGAAGGCAGAUCUCUGGGCCGUAACUGACGCUGAGGAGCGAAAGCAUGGGGAGCGAACAGG
rnacentral:rRNA from 1 species